GCCCGCAUAGCUCAGUCGGUAGAGCAUCAGACUUUUAAUCUGAGGGUCGCGGGUUCAAUUCCCCCUGCGGGCG
rnacentral:tRNA from 1 species